rnacentral:rRNA from 1 species
AAGAACUUUGAAGAGAGAGUUCAAAAGGGCGUGAAACCGCUUAGAAUAAAACGGACGGAGCCGUCAGUGGCCUUCCGGAAUCAGUCGUACGACGCGCGAUAAUGUACCGGUGUAGAGCGAAAGUCUACCCGGCGCGUUAGGAAAUAGUAGCGUUCGUUCGAUGCAUUUCCGGAGGGUAUGCGCCACGACCGAUGCGAAAGGCUAGUGAAUCCGGCGAAUUGAGGUGGAAAACUCCUCGGGGUAUUCAGUACCAGUUCGUCGGCCUAUAGUCGCUAGACCGCAGUAAGCAUCGAGCGCGGAAUAUAUCGAACACUGGCAAAAAUAGUGCUCGUUUAAGCGAUGGAUCAUCGGCGGAAUACGCUGUACCUGCUCGCAGGUUAUGUAUAUUACCGUCCGGUUCUUGAAGUCGCGGACGAGUCAAUAGUGUUCGGGCGUCUGUGGCGUCCGAGACGGUCAACCGUCCGACCCGUCUUGAAACACGGACCAAGGAGUCUAACGUACGCGCGAGCUAAUGAGUGGAAAACUCAUAAGCGCAAUAAAAGUAAAAGGUACGAUCCCGUUGUAUUUUUAUACCUCGGGCGCAGUACCGUCCCAUCCUAAUCGCUCGUCGAUAGGGUGGAGAUAGAGUGCAUACGUUGGGACCCGAAAGAUGGUGAACUAUGCCUGAGCAGAGCGAAGCCAGAGGAAACUCUGGUGGAGGUUCGUAGCGGUUCUGACGUGCAAAUCGAUCGUCAGACUUGGGUAUAGGGGCGAAA